CCUACGGGAGGCAGCAGUGGGGAAUCUUGCGCAAUGGGCGAAAGCCUGACGCAGCAACGCCGCGUGCGGGAAGAAGGCUUUCGGGCUGUAAACCGCUUUCAGCAGGAACGAAAAUGACGGUACCUGCAGAAGAAGGAGCGGCCAACUAUGUGCCAGCAGCCGCGGUGAUACAUAGGCUUCAAGCGUUGUCCGGAUUUAUUGGGCGUAAAGAGUUCGUAGGCGGUCAAGUAAGUCGGGUGUGAAAAUUCUGGGCUCAACCCAGAGACGCCACCCGAUACUGCUUAACUUGAGUUCGAUAGGGGAGUGGGGAAUUCCUAGUGUAGCGGUGAAAUGCGCAGAUAUUAGGAGGAACACCGGUGGCGAAGGCGCCACUCUGGAUCGAUACUGACGCUGAGGAACGAAAGCAUGGGUAGCAAACAGGAUUAGAUACCCUGGUAGUCCAUGCCGUAAACGGUGGGCACUAGGUGUGGGUUUCUAUUAACGAAAUCCGCGCCGUCGCUAACGCAUUAAGUGCCCCGCCUGGGGAGUACGGUCGCAAGCUAAAACUCAAAGGAAUUGACGGCUGGAGAGNGCGAGCGACGACGAGGAGAG
rnacentral:rRNA from 1 species